rnacentral:rRNA from 1 species
AGUGAACGCUGGCGGUAGGCCUAACACAUGCAAGUCGAACGGCAGCACAGUAAGAGCUUGCUCUUACGGGUGGCGAGUGGCGGACGGGUGAGGAAUACAUCGGAAUCUACUUUUUCGUGGGGGAUAACGUAGGGAAACUUACGCUAAUACCGCAUGCGACCUACGGGUGAAAGCAGGGGAUCUUCGGACCUUGCGCGAUUGAAUGAGCCGAUGUCGGAUUAGCUAGUUGGCGGGGUAAAGGCCCACCAAGGCGACGAUCCGUAGCUGGUCUGAGAGGAUGAUCAGCCACACUGGAACUGAGACACGGUCCAGACUCCUACGGGAGGCAGCAGUGGGGAAUAUUGGACAAUGGGCGCAAGCCUGAUCCAGCCAUACCGCGUGGGUGAAGAAGGCCUUCGGGUUGUAAAGCCCUUUUGUUGGGAAAGAAAAGCAGCAGGUUAAUACCCCGCUGUUCUGACGGUACCCAAGGAAUAAGCACCGGCUAACUUCGUG